UACAGAGGUCUCAAGCGUUGUUCGGAUUCAUUGGGCGUAAAGGGUGCGUAGGCGGCGCGGUAAGUCGGGUGUGAAAUCUCGGAGCUUAACUCCGAAACUGCAUUCGAUACUGCCGUGCUUGAGGACUGGAGAGGAGACUGGAAUUUACGGUGUAGCGGUGAAAUGCGUAGAUAUCGUAAGGAAGACCAGUGGCGAAGGCGGGUCUCUGGACAGUUCCUGACGCUGAGGCACGAAGGCCAGGGGGAGCAAAUGGG
rnacentral:rRNA from 1 species